rnacentral:rRNA from 1 species
UACGUAGGGGGCAAGCGUUGUCCGGAUUUAUUGGGCGUAAAGAGCGUGUAGGCGGCUUGGUAGGUCCGCUGUGAAAACUCGAGGCUCAACCUCGAGAUGUCGACCGAAACCAUCUGGCUAGAGUCCGGAAGAGGAGAAUGGAAUUCCCGGUGUAGCGGUGAAAUGCGCAGAUAUCGGGAAGAACACCCGUGGCGAAGGCGGUUCUCUGGGACGGUACUGACGCUGAGACGCGAAAGCGUGGGGAGCGAACAGG